CUUUUCUCUCCUGGGUCCUGGUCUUCCUUGAAUGUCAAGUUCGUGCCCCAGCUUCUCUGAGUCUCUGCAGAACACUGGACUUCACAAGACCCGAGGCACGUUCUCACUCGUCACUGACACCAGGCGCAAAGACAUCCUUCCACUUGCCAACCGCGACUGUACACCAAGAGAGCUCACAGAGUGUCCGGAGAACCGUAAUGAGCCUUUGGAAGAGCACUGAAGAGCAAUGUCACCGAGUGCCGCGGUGAGUCCCUCGCCUCAUGCAGAGGAGAGACGGCUCUGUAUUGAGGGCAGGUGCAGGUAGCCCGGUGUGACCUGUCGUGUACUGUCAUGCAAACCCAGUGUGUCCAGGUAGAGCGGUGUGCUCUGUGACCUGCUGAGUCCCGAUGGGUGCGUUAGGAACGGAUGGUGCAACCUCACACAGGCUGUAACGACUUGGAUGUACGCCAACAUUCCUGUGUUGCGAACUCAAUUCCCAAUACAACUGUGUUCAGAGGAAGCUUUGAGAAGUCAGCAGGUCGAGGGCACGGAAUGGUUCGGUCCUGCCUUCAGUUCCUGCCCCGACUUCCCCGAAUGGUGGAACGUGAGCUGUGAGAUGGAAUAAACUCUUUCCUCC